rnacentral:rRNA from 1 species
AUUCCAGCUCCAAUAGCGUAUAUUAAAGUUGUUGCAGUUAAAAAGCUCGUAGUUGGAUUUCGGAAUGGGUCAGUUGGUCCGCCGCAAGGUGAGUUACUGACUGAUUUGUUCUUCUUCGCAAAGACUGCGUGUGCUCUUUACUGAGUGUACGUAGGAUUUACGACGUUUACUUUGAAAAAAUUAGAGUGUUCAAAGCAGGCUAUCGCUUGAAUACAUGAGCAUGGAAUAAUGGAAUAGGACUUUGGUUCUAUUUUGUUGGUUUCUAGGACCGAAGUAAUGAUUAAGAGGGACAAUUGGGGGCGUCCGUAUUUCGUUGUCAGAGGUGAAAUUCUUGGAUUUACGAAAGACGAACAACUGCGAAAGCACUUGCCAAGAGUGUUUUCAUUA